AAGGCUUAAGAGGUGAGGGUGAGAAAACAAAUCGUAUAAAACGAGAGAGAAACGGCGAAGGAAAGUCAGUCGAGUGAGCAUCUCCGACACGGCAACAGUUGCAAUUCCUCCGUCGUAUACCAGUUCACAAUCAUGGUAAACUAUGUCGUCUUGCUGCGCUGCUGCAAUUGGUUAUUGUAUCGUCGAUCAAGGGUUUAUCGAUGUCUCCUGGGUAUGGUGAACAUCAAGAAAUAGCAGCGAAAGAAUACUAUACCACGUCGCCUCCUUACUAAACAACAACGUAAUCACCUACUUACAAUUCGAAGGCCUCCAAGUACUACACCACCAAGGCUCCUGAGUAUUAAACUCCAAUCUACGUUGCUCCAGCUUAGGAAAUGGUCUAGUUAACUAUGGGUCGUGCUGCUGUUGGGUGUUGUAUCGUUGAUGGCUGGGUCGACCACGUGUACCGAUGUCUUCUGGGUAUGUUGGUUACCUAACCGCAACGCCGCCGCCUUACUACACAACGAAGUCAACAUACGCAACAUUUAUUACUACGCCAAGGCCCCCAAGAACUACACGACUACACGAACUACACGACACUACACGAAGGCAGCGGAGUACUACACCACGAAGGCAGCGGAGUACUACACCACGAAGGCAGCGGAGUACUACACCACGA